UAGUGAUUCCUACGGGAGGCAGCAGUGGGGAAUUUUCCGCAAUGGGCGAAAGCCUGACGGAGCAAUACCGCGUGAGGGAGGAAGGCUUUUGGGUCGUAAACCUCUUUUCUCAGGGAAGAAGAUCUGACGGUACCUGAGGAAUCAGCAUCGGCUAACUCCGUGCCAGCAGCCGCGGUAAUACGGAGGAUGCAAGCGUUAUCCGGAAUGAUUGGGCGUAAAGCGUCCGCAGGUGGCUGAGCAAGUCUGCUGUCAAAGCCCAGGGCUUAACCCUGGAGCGGCAGUGGAAACUGGAUAGCUAGAGUGCGGUAGGGGCAGAGGGAAUUCCCAGUGUAGCGGUGAAAUGCGUAGAUAUUGGGAAGAACACCGGUGGCGAAAGCGCUCUGCUGGGCCGCAACUGACACUCAUGGACGAAAGCUAGGGGAGCGAAAGGGAUUAGAUACCCCUGUAGUCCUAGCCGUAAACGAUGGACACUAGGCGUUGGCCGUAUCGACCCGGUCAGUGCCGUAGCUAACGCGUUAAGUGUCCCGCCUGGGGAGUACGCUCGCAAGAGUGAAACUCAAAGG
rnacentral:rRNA from 1 species